GAUUAGAUACCCGGGUAAGUCCAUACCCGUAAACGAUGAAAUGCUAAGUGGUUGGAGGGUUUUCCGCCCUUCAGUGCUGCAGCUAAACGCAUUAAGCAUUCCGCCUGGGGAGUACGGCCGCAAGGCUGAAACUCAAAGGAAUUACGGGGGCCCGCACAAGCGGUGGAGCAUGUGGUUUAACGAAGCUACGCGAAGAACCUUACCAGGUCUUGACAUACUAUGCAAAUCUAAGAGAUUAGACGUUCCCUUCGGGGACAUGGAUACAGGUGGUGCAUGGUUGUCGUCAGCUCGUGUCGUGAGAUGUUGGGUUAAGUCCCGCAACGAGCGCAACCCUUAUUAUCAGUUGCCAGCAUAAGUUGGGCACUCUGGUGAGACUGCCGGUGACAAACCGGAGGAAGGUGGGGAUGACGUCAAAUCAUCAUGCCCCUUAUGACCUGGGCUACACACGUGCUACAAUGGAUGGUACAACGAGUUGCGAACUCGCGAGAGUAAGCUAAUCUCUUAAAGCCAUUCUCAGUUCGGAUUGUAGGCU
rnacentral:rRNA from 2 species